rnacentral:rRNA from 1 species
CCUACGGGAGGCAGCAGUGGGGAAUAUUGCACAAUGGGCGCAAGCCUGAUGCAGCAACGCCGCGUGCGGGAUGACGGCCUUCGGGUUGUAAACCGCUUUCAGCAGGGACGAAGCUUUUUGUGACGGUACCUGCAGAAGAAGCACCGGCUAACUACGUGCCAGCAGCCGCGGUGAUACGUAGGGUGCGAGCGUUGUCCGGAUUUAUUGGGCGUAAAGGGCUCGUAGGCGGUUGAUCGCGUCGGAAGUGGAAACUUGAUGCUUAACGUUGAGCGUGCUUUCGAUACGGGUUGACUUGAGGAAGGUAGGGGAGAAUGGAAUUCCUGGUGGAGCGGUGGAAUGCGCAGAUAUCAGGAGGAACACCAGUGGCGAAGGCGGUUCUCUGGACCUUUCCUGACGCUGAGGAGCGAAAGCGUGGGGAGCGAACAGGCUUAGAUACCCUGGUAGUCCACGCUGUAAACGGUGGGUACUAGGUGUGGGGUCCAUUCCACGGAUUCUGUGCCGUAGCUAACGCAUUAAGUACCCCGCCUGGGGAGUACGGCCGCAAGGCUAAAACUCAAAGGAAUUGACGGGGCCCCGCACAAGCGGCGGAGCAUGCGGAUUAAUUCGAUGCAACGCGAAGAACCUUACCUGGGUUUGACAUGGAUCGGAAGCUUCCAGAGAUGGUUGUGCCUCUUUUGGGGUCGGUUCACAGGUGGUGCAUGGCUGUCGUCAGCUCGUGUCGUGAGAUGUUGGGUUAAGUCCCGCAACGAGCGCAACCCUCGUCCACUGUUGCCAGCAAUUCGGUUGGGGACUCAGUGGAGACCGCCGGGGUCAACUCGGAGGAAGGUGGGGAUGACGUCAAGUCAUCAUGCCCCUUAUGUCCAGGGCUUCACGCAUGCUACAAUGGCCGGUACAGUGAGUUGCGACAUCGUAAGGUGGAGCGAAUCUCAAAAAGCCGGUCUCAGUUCGGAUUGGGGUCUGCAACUCGACCUCAUGAAGUCGGAGUCGCUAGUAAUCGCAGAUCAGCAACGCUGCGGUGAAUACGUUCCCGGGUCUUGUACACACCGCCCGUCAAGUCAUGAAAGUCGGUAACACUCGAAGCCGGUGGCCUAACACUUUUUGUGGGGGAGCUGUCGAAGGUGGGACUGGUGAUUAGGACUAAGUCGUAACAAGGUAGCCGUACCGGAAGGUGCGGCUG